GACGAACGCUGGCGGCGUGCUUAACACAUGCAAGUCGAACGGAAAGGCCCUGCUUUUGUGGUGUGCUCGAGUGGCGAACGGGUGAGUAACACGUGAGUAACCUGCCCUUGGCUUUGGGAUAACUUCAGGAAACUGGGGCUAAUACCGGAUAGGAGCCGCUACGGCAUGGUGGGGGUUGGAAAGUGUCGGCGGUUGGGGAUGGACGCGCGGAUUAUCGGCGUGUUGGUGGGGUAGCGGCGUGCCAAGGCUUUGACGGGUAGCCGACCUGAGAGGGUGACCGGGGACAUGGGUCCUGCGGGAAGGCCCAGACUGGUACGGGAGGCAGCAGUGGGGAGUAUGGCACAACGAGCGGACGCGUGAGGAGGAAACGUCGCGGUCGGGAAGACGGCUUUUGGGUUGUAAACCGCUUUCGCCUGUGAUGACGCUGGAGUGACGGUAAUGAGUAAAGAAGCACCGGCUAACUACGUG
rnacentral:rRNA from 1 species